GUUGUCGGUCACAGGUGCUACUCAUUAUGGCAUCAAGUACCAUACCCCACCUCUGCUGUUCUAUGUAACCCAUGCCAUUGCUAGUGAGGAGAGAUGAGAAUGGUGCUGAAACAUGCAAAUUAAUGUGAUGAACCAGCAGAGAAGUGGACGCAGAUUUUCUGCUAAGACAAUCAACUUAAUGAACGGGGUACUAAAACAUUCAUCCUGGAAGUCAUCAGUUUGUGAUGGACAUCAACUAGACCUUUGGGGUUUUACCUUUGCCUCAUGAGAACUGAGAACGCUGUCCAUGGUGGCCUCUCACGGCUGAACAAUACAAGGAAAAUUGAUCAUACCAGUGACUGCAUUUGCUAAAAAGGUAUGAAAUGAGGGAAAGGGUGUCACCAAUAUUGAGAAUGCUCAUCCAAACCAAUAUGGCAGAGCUUGGAAGUUACUGAAACAAGAAAAUGGUACAAAACAGAUAUGCUCGUGAUGUUUCAUUGAAUUCUUAUGGUAUUGGUUCUAUUUUGUAAAUCACCCUGGGAUUUUAUUAAAAUUAUCAGCAGCAGCCGCAGCCGUAACAACAACAGCAGCAGCAUUAAGAUAAUCCCACACUGACUGGACAUGCUCACAAAUUGCCUACUGCCAGCUGCAUUCAAGGCUAUGGGAUCCAACAGAAGAAAAGCCUCUUGGGCUGCUACAAUUACAGAAACUAAUUAGACAUUUACACACAAGCCACCCCAUUAUGAUACCAAAUCUGACAGCAGGACACCAUGGAGCAAAAAGAUAAAAUAAAAAUGAUUUCACAUUGA